rnacentral:rRNA from 1 species
UACGGGGGGGGCAAGCGUUGUUCGGAAUUACUGGGCGUAAAGGGUUUGUAGGUGGCCACUUAAGUCAGACGUGAAAUCCCUCAGCUUAACUGGGGAACUGCGUCUGAUACUGAGUGGCUUGAGUGCAGGAGAGGAACGCGGAAUUCCAGGUGUAGCGGUGAAAUGCGUAGAUAUCUGGAGGAACACCGGUGGCGAAGGCGGCGUUCUGGACUGUAACUGACACUGAAAAACGAAAGCCAGGGGAGCAAACGGG